rnacentral:rRNA from 1 species
AGGGUUUGAUUAUGGCUCAGAUUGAACGCUGGCGGCAGGCCUAACACAUGCAAGUCGAGCGGUAGAGAGGUGCUUGCACCUCUUGAGAGCGGCGGACGGGUGAGUAAUGCCUAGGAAUCUGCCUGGUAGUGGGGGAUAACGCUCGGAAACGGACGCUAAUACCGCAUACGUCCUACGGGAGAAAGCAGGGGACCUUCGGGCCUUGCGCUAUCAGAUGAGCCUAGGUCGGAUUAGCUAGUUGGUGGGGUAAUGGCUCACCAAGGCGACGAUCCGUAACUGGUCUGAGAGGAUGAUCAGUCACACUGGAACUGAGACACGGUCCAGACUCCUACGGGAGGCAGCAGUGGGGAAUAUUGGACAAUGGGCGAAAGCCUGAUCCAGCCAUGCCGCGUGUGUGAAGAAGGUCUUCGGAUUGUAAAGCACUUUAAGUUGGGAGGAAGGGCAUUAACCUAAUACGUUAGUGUUUUGACGUUACCGACAGAAUAAGCACCGGCUAACUCUGUGCCAGCAGCCGCGGUAAUACAGAGGGUGCAAGCGUUAAUCGGAAUUACUGGGCGUAAAGCGCGCGUAGGUGGUUCGUUAAGUUGGAUGUGAAAUCCCCGGGCUCAACCUGGGAACUGCAUUCAAAACUGUCGAGCUAGAGUAUGGUAGAGGGUGGUGGAAUUUCCUGUGUAGCGGUGAAAUGCGUAGAUAUAGGAAGGAACACCAGUGGCGAAGGCGACCACCUGGACUGAUACUGACACUGAGGUGCGAAAGCGUGGGGAGCAAACAGGAUUAGAUACCCUGGGUAGUCCACGCCGUAACGAUGUCAACUAGCCGUUGGGAGCCUUGAGCUCUUAGUGGCGCAGCUAACGCAUUAAGUUGACCGCCUGGGGAGUACGGCCGCAAGGUUAAAACUCAAAUGAAUUGACGGGGGCCCGCACAAGCGGUGGAGCAUGUGGUUUAAUUCG